rnacentral:rRNA from 1 species
CCUACACGCGGCAGCAGUGGGGAAUAUUGGGCAAUGGGCGCAAGCCUGACCCAGCAACGCCGCGUGAAGGAAGAAGGCUUUCGGGUUGUAAACUUCUUUUAAGAGGGAAGAGCAGAAGACGGUACCUCUUGAAUAAGCCACGGCUAACUACGUGCCAGCAGCCGCGGUGAUACGUAGGUGGCAAGCGUUGUCCGGAUUUACUGGGUGUAAAGGUCGUGUAGCCGGGCUGACAAGUCAGAUGUGAAAUCCCGUGGCUCAACCACGGAACUGCAUUUUAAACUGUGGGUCUUGAGUAUCGGAGAGGCAGGCGGAAUUCCUAGUGUAGCGGUGAAAUGCGUAGAUAUUAGGAGGAACACCCGUGGCGAAGGCGGCCUGCUGGACGACAACUGACGGUGAGGCGCGAAAGCGUGGGGAGCAAACAGGAUUAGAUACCCGGGUAGUC